rnacentral:rRNA from 1 species
UCGGGAAUAUUGGACAAUGGACCAAGAGUUUGAUCCAGCAAUUCUGUGGGCACGAUGAAGUUUUUUGGAAUGUAAAGUGCUUUCAGUUGGGAAGAAAAAAAUGACGGUACCAACAGAAGAAGCGCCGGCUAAAUACGUGCCAGCAGCCGCGGUAAUACGUAUGUCCCAAGCGUUAUCCGGAUUUAUUGGGCGUAAAGCGCGUCUAGGUGGUUAUGUAAGUCUGAUGUGAAAAUGCAGGGCUCAACUUUGUAUUGCGUUGGAAACUGUGUAACUAGAGUGCUGGAGAGGUAAGCGGAAUUCCAAGUGUAGAGGUGAACUUCGUAGAUA